rnacentral:rRNA from 1 species
UUCGUAGCGCGUGCGAGGGGCUGGGGGGAUAGGGGGGGGGCUAGCGUUGUGUGGAAUGACUGGGCGUAAAGUGAACGUGGGGGGGGUUGUAAGUUAGAGGUGAAAGCCCAGGGCGUAACACUGGAAUUGCCGUUAAGUCUGCAUCGCUAGAAGCGUGGAGAAGUGAGUGGAAUUCCGAGUGUAGAGGUGAAAUUCGUAGAUAUUCGUAAGGACACCAGUGGCGAAGGCGACUCACUGGACACGUAUUGACGCUGAGGUGCGAAAGCGUGGGGAGCAAACAGGAUUAGAUACCCCGGUAGUC